rnacentral:rRNA from 1 species
AUUGAACGCUGGCGGCAGGCUUAACACAUGCAAGUCGAACGAGUGGCGGACGGGUGAGUAAUGCUUGGGAAUCUAGCUUAUGGAGGGGGAUAACUACGGGAAACUGUAGCCAAUACCGCGUACAAUAGGAUGAGCCCAAGUGGGAUGAGGUAGUUGGUGAGGGAAAGGCUCACAAAGCCGACGAUCUCUAGCUGGUCUGAGCGGAUGACCCGCCACACUGGGACGGCGCCACGGCCCAGACGCCGACGGGAGGCAGCAGUGGGGAAUAUUGCGCAAUGGGGGCAACCUGACGCAGCCAUGCCGGGUGAAUGAAGAGGGCCUUCGGGUUGUAAAGUUCUUUCGGUAGCGAGGCGUUAACUACAGAAGAAGCACCGGCUAACUCCGUGCCAGCAGCCGCGGUAAUUC